GGACCAUUGGAGUAGUGGAUUAUCUCGUCGUUCUUAUAUUUGGGUCUUUGUGCCCAACUAUGGUUAGAGAUGCGAAGGUCACCAGUUCGAUCCUGGUAUGGUCCA